GCAUUGAGCUGGACUCCAACUAUGGAAAAUGCCAAUGGAGACACAACAGUUUAGAGGUGAGAGAAAAGAGAGCACCUAUCAAAAGUUUUUGAAAACUCGAAUGUACUGGUUGCUGAAGCGCAGCAUUAUAAAUGGCAGCAGACCCCACUUGAGAGCAUCUAUUUACAGUUUUCACACGCCUCCCCUGCCCUACCUCAUCCUUCACAGUGGUCACUGGUGACUAAGGAGGCUGUCACAGACUACCUGGCACCCUGCUUUCUUGAUGGGACUAUGCUGAUCCAUUCUCUUGGACACCGUACAAGAUGAGCUGUUAAUUUUGUUUGUUUUUAGGUCUAUCUUCUAACUUGGUGAUUGAUUCUCACUGCAGAUCUUCAAUAGAAAUUAAGUCCUUGGCUCCAAUUCCACAUCUGAAUUUUAAUUAAGUUCCUAUCCAGCUUCCUGAACGUCUAAUGACAGCUCUGCCCUUUGUGUCCUCUGCCCUGCUCAUCAGCAUGGAGCGUGGGCCUGUCCUCUUCCAACUCGGCAUGCAGGAAGCUCGCACUGUGAAGACAGGGUGACUCUGUCCACCCUGUCCCACACCAGCCCACACCGAGGGGCACAAUCCUAUAUCCUCCAUGGCUAGGGAAAUGCUGCUAGCAUGACAAAUAAAUAGUAAUAAAACAAACACAUGAGUGCACAGAGAAAUGAAUGGCAAACGGGAAAACAAAGAAGAAACUAUGUAUUGUGUAUUUCUCUGUUUGCAAAGAAUCUCC
rnacentral:lncRNA from 1 species